rnacentral:rRNA from 1 species
GUUUUAUAGAUAUUAAUUUUAAAUUUAACCUGCUCUAUGAUUUAUUAAAUGGCUGCAGUAUUAUAACUGUACUAAGGUAGCAUAAUAAUUUGUCUUUUAAUUGAAGGCUAGAAUGAAUGGUUUGAUGAAAAAUUAACUUUUUUAUUUUAAUAUUUUGAAUUUAAUUUUUUAGUUAAAAAGCUAAAAUUAUUUUAUAGGACGAGAAGACCCUAUAGAAUUUUAUUUUUUUUAUAUUUUUAUUAUUUUUGUUAAUUUUAUUUUAGAAUUAUAUUAAUAAUUUUGUUGGGGUGAUAUAAAAAUUUUUUUAACUUUUUAUUUAUUUUUCAUUGAUUUAUGUAUUUUUGAUCCUAAAUUUUAGAUUAAAAGAUUAAAUUACCUUAGGGAUAACAGCGUUAUUUUUUUUGAUAGUUCUUAUUGAUGAAAAAGUUUGCGA